rnacentral:rRNA from 1 species
GAUGAACGCUGGCGGCGUGCCUAAUACAUGCAAGUCGAGCGAACAGAUGAGGAGCUUGCUCCUCUGACGUUAGCGGCGGACGGGUGAGUAACACGUGGAUAACCUACCUAUAAGACUGGGAUAACUUCGGGAAACCGGAGCUAAUACCGGAUAAUAUAUUGAACCGCAAUGUUCAAUAGUGAAAGACGGUUUUGCUGUCACUUAUAGAUGGAUCCGCGCCGCAUUAGCUAGUUGGUAAGGUAACGGCUUACCCAGGCAACGAUGCGUAGCCGACCUGAGAGGGUGAUCGGCCACCCUGGCACUGAGAAUCGGUCCAGACUCCUACGGGAGGCAGCAGUAGGGAAUCUUCCGCAAUGGGCGAAAGCCUGACGUUGCAACGCCGCGUGAGUGAUGAAGGUCUUCUGAUCGUAAAACUCUGUUAUUAGGGAAGUACUAAUGUGUAAGUAACUAUGCACGUCUUGACGGUACCUAAUCAGAAAGCCACGGCUAACUACGUG